AGCAGAGUUGUUUAUUGGGGUGUGGAAUCCCUGGAAUCCAUGGGUUAAUGGAUACUGCAGAAUUGGAGACUCCUGCUGGCCUGGUCCUGGCAGUGGGACAAUUGCUGCUUUCAAGGUGUCGUCUCCUGUGUAGGAUCAAAGUCCAGCCACCAGACACUUCUGGAACAUUCCAGGACUCCCGAGCCCCCCAAGGGUGGUCUCGGUGGCUCGGCAUCUCAGGACUCAGAUCCUGAGAUCCCACACCCUGCUGCUCGUCCCCUGUCACUCUGUGCCACCAGCUCGGCCUGGCUCCGCUCCAGCACUCGGCAAAGGUCAUCCCUGCCUCUUCCAAGGACACCUGACAGGAUCAGGGGCUCUCUGCUCCUCCGAGGGGUGGAUGGCGCACCCAGGGGAGGCUUUGCUGCAGUUCUGCACCCUCAGAGCUGGAAUGGAAGCUCAGGGUCCUUUUUGAGUAGAAUCCGCUUAUUUUCUGUGAAGAUUUUUUGGGUUUAGGACACGAACCACGUGGCUCCUGAGCAGCCUCAGGGACGCUGCUUCAUUCUGGGAAGGCUGAGUCACAGUUCCUAAAUAUGACAAGAUAAUAUUAACAAUAAGGGGGGCCAGAAGCAGGAGGGAAGGAGCUGGAAGUCUGAGAAGUUCUUUCUUAACCUUUUCAUCCUGCUAACACAACUCCUUGUCAGAUGAACCUGAAAUUAGAGGGCCUGAAAUCCAACCUUCAGUUAAAUGCUUGGCUGAAGUUAAACUUCUGCUGUAGAACUCCCCAGGGGCUGGAAAACUGAUUUUCCAAGGAGGUGGAAGAAGUGAACAAGGACCUCUGACCACCCUCUCCAGCCACUCCUUGCUCCUGUGAGCCCUCUGUGUGCCUGAGCCAGGCGUGAAGGUUUUGUCAGGCAGGAUCCUGGGUGCUGAACUUUGCACAAAACUCCUUCCUUUUGCUGCAUCAAAGGCCUCUGAGAACAGAAAACGAUGCUAAUCAUGUGUUUGUGCACUUAGAAAUAUCAACCCAUCGACUUGCAGAGGCAGAAGAUGGAGGAAAACCUGGAGGAGCAAAAUAUAAAAUUCUCUUCCAUCAUCAAAGUAGCAGCAUCAAGCCAUGACCUCUCUGUGUUCAGACACGCUGCAAGCCAGAAGCAGAAUUUAAAUGGGCCUGGCCUCCUUGCUGCUUAAAAAGGGAGAGAAAAACAAGUAAAAAAUUACUUUUACCAACUUUCCAAACCCAGCUCAAAGCUGCUCUGUAGAAAAAUGUAGGCAGGGGUUGAUUUUCACUGAUUUCUGCCUUUCUCCUCCACGUAUUUGUAUCAGUGUCCGGGUGUCCAACACCUGAAAACCACCUUGGAAGCCUCCUCAGUGCCACCCUCAGCCUCCUGAAACUACCCAAAUGCACCUUCUGCAAGGGAAUAUUUCAUUUUUUCUGGAGAUAAUCACAACUUCUCCAGGAAUUUCGUAGGAGCCAUGAGGACAUUUUUGUUUAAACUAGAUAUUCCUUCUAGAAGCAGCGAACUGGCGACACCUCGGAUUUCUUGUCUGACUCUUCAAGGACGUGGUGUGGCUUCUCUGCUGGGAGUUCCAAGUGUCACUUGUCUCCACACCUGUGCCUGAACAUGUCCCCUGACAUGGAAAUGAUGAGCCACAAACUGUCCCAUCAGUCUGUCUGAACGUUGAACAUCACAGGCUGCUCAGCCCAGGUCUUCACAGAGAGCAAAAUCCAAGGGCUUCAUGGUAUGGACAGACAUUUCCUGCUGGAUGUAUAAUUUAUUUUAGUCAGGUCAGGCUGUAGUCCUUAUAUAACAGCUCAGCCUAGAAAAGGGAAAUUUAUUUAAUGUUUUUUCAUCUUCUAUAAAGUUAAUGAAUGAAUUCAAGUAGGUUUUGUUUUGUAGAUAUUCAGCUGUGAUUAUGCAGCACAACUUUGAUGUUAAAUAAAUAUACUUAAUUAUUUGGA